UCGUAGUCGAUGGAUAACGGGUUAAUAUUCCUGUACUAUUUUUUAUUGACAACGAAGGACGGAGAAGGCUAUGUUGGCCGGGUGUUGGUUUCCGGUUUAAGCGUUAAGGUGUAGAGAAAUAGAGAAAAUAUUUUGAGCUAAGACGUGAAUACGAAAUGCUACGGCAUAAAAGCAACUGAUGUCAUGCUUCCAAGAAAAGUUCGCACUGUCAUAAAUAAAAAAUACCUGUACUGUAAACCGACACAGGUAGGUGGGUAGAGAAUACUAAGGGGCGCGAGAUAACUCUCUCUAAGGAACUCGGCAAAAUAACUCCGUAACUUUGGGAGAAGGAGUACCUUUUUUAAGGUUGCAAUAAUCAGGUUCAAGCGACUGUUUAACAAAAACACAGGUUUCCGCUAAGUUGUAAAACGAUGUAUGGGAGCUGACGCCUGCCCAGUGCCGGAAGGUUAAGGAAGUUGGUUUAAUGCUGAUAACUGAAGCCCCGGUGAACGGCGGCCGUAACGAUAACGGUCCUAAGGUAGCGAAAUUCCUUGUCGGGUAAGUUCCGACCCGCACGAAAGGCGUAACGAUUUGAACGCUGUCUCAGAGAGAGACUCGGCGAAAUAGACAUGUCUGUGAAGAUGCGGACUACCUGCACCUGGACAGAAAGACCCUAUGAAGCUUUACUGUAACUUGAGAUUGACUUCGGGCUUUACUUGCGCAGGAUAGGUGGGAGGCUUUGAUUAUAUUCUUGCGGGAGUAUAAGAGCCGUUGGUGAGAUACCACUCUUGUAAAGCUAGAAUUCUAAUUUUACUUCGUUAGCCGAGUAAAAAACAUUCUCUGGUGGGCAGUUUGACUGGGGCGGUCGCCUCCCAAAAAGUAACGGAGGCGCACAAAGGUUUCCUCAGAUCGGUCAGAAAUCGAUCGUUGAGCGUAAAGGCAUAUGGAAGCUUGACUGCGAGACCAACAAGUCGAGCAGAGACGAAAGUCGGUCUUAGUGAUCUGACGGUUCUGAGUGGAAAGGCCGUCACUCAACGGAUAAAAGUUACUCUAAGGAUAACAGGCUGAUCUCCCCCAAGAGUUCACAUCGACGGGGAGGUUUGGCACCUCGAUGUCGGCUCAUCGCAUCCUGGGGCGGUAGUACGUCCCAAGGGUUGGGCUGUUCGCCCAUGAAAGCGGUACGCGAGCUGGGUUCAGAACGUCGUGAGACAGUUCGGUCCAUAUCCGGUGUGGGCGUUAGAGUAUUGAAAGGACCCUUCUCUAGUACGAGAGGACCGAGAAGGACAGACCGCUGGUGUAUCAGUUAUCAUGCCAAUGGUAUACGCUGGGUAGCUAUGUCUGGAAAGGAUAACCGCUGAAAGCAUCUAAGUGGGAAGCCUACCUUAAGAUGAGUACUCUCAUCCUUUUUGAGUAAGAUCACGGCAAGAUUAGCCGUUUGAUAGGUAUCAGGUCGAAGUAUAGUAAUAUAUGAAGCCAAGAUAUACUAAUAGAUCGAGGAUUC
rnacentral:rRNA from 1 species